GACGAACGCUGGCGGCGUGCUUAACACAUGCAAGUCGAACGAUGAAGCCUAGCUUGCUAGGUGGAUUAGUGGCGAACGGGUGAGUAAUACGUGAGUAACCUACCUUUAACUCUGGGAUAAGCCUGGGAAACUGGGUCUAAUACCGGAUACGACCAAUCUCCGCAUGGGGUGUUGGUGGAAAGCGUUAUGUAGUGGUUAUAGAUGGGCUCACGGCCUAUCAGCUUGUUGGUGAGGUAACGGCUCACCAAGGCGACGACGGGUAGCCGGCCUGAGAGGGUGACCGGCCACACUGGGACUGAAACACGGCCCAGACUCCUACGGGAGGCAGCAGUGGGGAAUAUUGCACAAUGGGCGCAAGCCUGAUGCAGCGACGCCGCGUGAGGGAUGACGGCCUUCGGGUCGUAAACCUCUGUUAGCAGGGAAGAAGAGAGAUUGACGGUACCUGCAGAGAAAGCGCCGGCUAACUACGUG
rnacentral:rRNA from 1 species